CCCCCACCUCACUUCCUCUUCCUAGUCUUCAUAGGUGCCUCACAACAGCGGGAGCCAUUUUGAAACCUUUCCCCUUCAUGCUGCUGAGCAUCUGCUGCUCUGUGUAAGGACCCUGCUGAAAGCCUGGUUACUGCAAGAGGUUAACAACCAUGCUCAUUUGGGAUGUUCAUCUUGAUUAUGGUUGCUUAGGUAGCCACAAAAGCCCAAGGAUUUUUGCUGACAAUAAGAAAAAGCUUGCUGACACUAUUAUUUGCUGAACCUUUCUCGAAAAAUAAUGGAUUAGUGUGGAAUGUGUUUCCAGCCAAUCAGAUGCCAACAAACAGAAACCCCAUCUGCACAAACAUGAAUGCAAGAGAUAUACAAGACUGCAAAAAUGUCUUUUAUCUGACAGUUGCCUUGACCUUAAGUAACCUCAUGGUUGCUGAAGACAAGAAUGAGAGAAAAUGGUCAAAAGCAACUGAACUGGACAAGUGAGAUAUUAUAAAUUUGAUCUUGCAUAUUGGUAUUUAUGCAAUACGUUAAUCUGUACAAAUAUUCUGUUAUGUCAGAAAAAUAAAAGUGAAAUGUAACAUGCAUUUUUCUAAAUAAAAUAUAUAAGUUGAAAUAAUA